UACGGGAGGCAGCAGUGGGGAAUUUUGCGCAAUGGGCGAAAGCCUGACGCAGCAACGCCGCGUGAGUGAUGAAGGCUUUCGGGUCGUAAAGCUCUGUCUAGAUGGGAAAGAAAUGAUAUUCAGGCUAAUACCCGUGAUAUCUUGACGGUACCUCAUAAAGGAAGCACCGGCUAACUCCGUGCCAGCAGCCGCGGUAAUACGGAGGGUGCAAGCGUUGUUCGGAAUUAUUGGGCGUAAAGCGCGUGUAGGCGGUUUGAUUAAGUCUGAUGUGAAAGCCCUGGGCUCAACCCAGGAAGUGCAUUGGAAACUGGCAGACUUGAAUACGGGAGAGGGUAGUGGAAUUCCUAGUGUAGGAGUGAAAUCCGUAGAUAUUAGGAGGAACACCGGUGGCGAAGGCGGCUACCUGGACCGAUAUUGACGCUGAGACGCGAAAGCGUGGGUAGCAAACAGGAUUAGAUACCCUGGUAGUCCACGCCGUAAACGAUGAGUACUAGGUGUUGCGGGUAUUGACCCCUGCAGUGCCGCAGCUAACGGUACGGUCGCAGAGACUAACAACGCAUUA
rnacentral:rRNA from 1 species